GCGGCAAGACGGAAAGACCCCGUGAACCUUUACUAUAGCUUGACACUGAACAUUGAGCCUUGAUGUGUAGGAUAGGUGGGAGGCUUUGAAGUGUGGACGCCAGUCUGCAUGGAGCCGACCUUGAAAUACCACCCUUUAAUGUUUGAUGUUCUAACGUGGACCCGUAAUCCGGGUUGCGGACAGUGUCUGGUGGGUAGUUUGACUGGGGCGGUCUCCUCCUAAAGAGUAACGGAGGAGCACGAAGGUUGGCUAAUCCUGGUCGGACAUCAGGAGGUUAGUGCAAUGGCAUAAGCCAGCUUGACUGCGAGCGUGACGGCGCGAGCAGGUGCGAAAGCAGGUCAUAGUGAUCCGGUGGUUCUGAAUGGAAGGGCCAUCGCUCAACGGAUAAAAGGUACUCCGGGGAUAACAGGCUGAUACCGCCCAAGAGUUCAUAUCGACGGCGGUGUUUGGCACCUCGAUGUCGGCUCAUCACAUCCUGGGGCUGAAGUAGGUCCCAAGGGUAUGGCUGUUCGCCAUUUAAAGUGGUACGCGAGCUGGGUUUAGAACGUCGUGAGACAGUUCGGUCCCUAUCUGCCGUGGGCGCUGGAGAACUGAGGGGGGCUGCUCCUAGUACGAGAGGACCGGAGUGGACGCAUCACUGGUGUUCGGGUUGUCAUGCCAAUGGCACUGCCCGGUAGCUAAAUGCGGAAGAGAUAAGUGCUGAAAGCAUCUAAGCACGAAACUUGCCCCGAG
rnacentral:rRNA from 1 species